rnacentral:rRNA from 1 species
CGUGCAGGCGGUUUGGUAAGUUGGAUGUGAAAGCUCCUGGCUCAACUGGGAGAGGUCGUUCAAUACUACCAGACUUGAGAGUGGUAGAGGGAGGUGGAAUUCCCGGUGUAGUGGUGAAAUGCGUAGAUAUCGGGAGGAACACCAGUGGCGAAAGCGGCCUCCUGGACCAUUUCUGACGCUCAGACGCGAAAGCUAGGGGAGCAAACGGGAUUAGAGACCCCGGUAGUCCUAGCUGUAAACGAUGUGAACUUGGCGUCGGUGGUGUAAAAACCAUCGGUGCCGUAGCCAACGCGAUAAGUUCACCGCCUGGGGACUACGGCCGCAAGGUUAA